rnacentral:lncRNA from 1 species
CACCCUCCUCCCCGCCCAUGCCCCUCCUCUUCGCCGGCGAUCUCGGCACCGCCAGCGAUGCAUUCCUCGUCAGGCCCGAGACCGAGACCGCCAUGAAAAGAGCCUCCUCCUCCUCCUCCUCCUCCUCCUCCUCCUCCUACAAUUACUAUUUGUAAAGAACAGCUUUUUCCAGAGCCAUGGAGUUAUGGAAAGAAAUCACGAAUAGAUUUGGAGAAGGAAUUUGAGGUGAU